rnacentral:misc_RNA from 1 species
AUAUAUAUCAAUCUUCUCAUUGCUGAGUGGUUUGGAUGUGGGGGUUUGCUGGCCUCUUAUAUGAGUUCAGCUCCCCUGAAAUGCAUUAGCAGAACAACCCGUUCGUUGGCGUGAUAACUAUCUACGCUAUUGAGUGUGAGGUGGCUCAGCUUCCUAACAGUCUUUGGACAAUUUAAUCAUUUU